rnacentral:rRNA from 1 species
AAAUGUAGCUUGCUACAUUACCUAGCCGGCGGACGGGUGAGUAAUGCUUAGGAAUCUGCCUAUUAGUGGGGGACAACAUUCCGAAAGGAAUGCUAAUACCGCAUACGUCCUACGGGAGAAAGCAGGGGACCUUCGGGCCUUGCGCUAAUAGAUGAGCCUAAGUCGGAUUAGCUAGUUGGUGGGGUAAAGGCCUACCAAGGCGACGAUCUGUAGCGGGUCUGAGAGGAUGAUCCGCCACACUGGGACUGAGACACGGCCCAGACUCCUACGGGAGGCAGCAGUGGGGAAUAUUGGACAAUGGGGGGAACCCUGAUCCAGCCAUGCCGCGUGUGUGAAGAAGGCCUUUUGGUUGUAAAGCACUUUAAGCGAGGAGGAGGCUACUAGUAUUAAUACUACUGGAUAGUGGACGUUACUCGCAGAAUAAGCACCGGCUAACUCUGUGCCAGCAGCCGCGGUAAUACAGAGGGUGCGAGCGUUAAUCGGAUUUACUGGGCGUAAAGCGUGCGUAGGCGGCUGAUUAAGUCGGAUGUGAAAUCCCUGAGCUUAACUUAGGAAUUGCAUUCGAUA